CCUAUAUGUACACCACGCGGACACGUUUCAUCAAGAAUGACGCAUUUUUAAUUACUAAAACCUAAUUAAUGACUAUAUUACAGCAUGAUUAGCUAUGGUAGCUGAAAAAUAAAUCAAACUACAGAAUUAUAUAUUGUAUAAACUAGACUAUACAUUAUCAAAAUCAAUAUAUUCGCUUGAUUGUAUGACGAGCAAAGUUCGUCGUACUUUAUCGCAUAAGAACGGUUAGCGCUUGACAUUCUCACUUGAAGGAACAUUUCAAAUUACGCGGAAAAGGUUUUUAUAAAUCAAUGAGCCCAUCUUGGAUUGUUGUGGAUUAAAGGAAUACCAAAUGGUUUUCCGUGCAGGAUAGCACCAUGACCGGUACUAAACCCAACGUUAAUGAGAUCAAAAUGGAGAACUUCUCAUUGUUUUCAGUGAAAAUAUUUCAAGAACAAAGUCGGUAAAGAAGUUUUAUGGACAGGCCUAAGAAGAUGUUUUCUUUCUUUAAACAACAAGUCGCAAGCUUUGUGAUAUUUCUCGAAUACCUCAGAAGCUGUCGACUGCUGUUUAAACUGCCUACGUUUUUUCGAUACGAAAAGGCGCUGAAUUAUAAAAUUGACUUCAAACGCCGUAUAUUUUUUGACCACGUCCAACGAAAACAGUUGCCAAACUCAUGGUACUUAUUUUAAACGACCAGUUUUGAAACAGGCUUUAUAUGCAAUUUUGAAAGUUCUAUCAAAUGAAACUUAAUUUUACUGCUAUAUCCCUUUAACUAAUAAAGGCGUUUUGUUUAAGGACACUUACAAACUAUAUCUCAAGCUCCACUUUCAUCAAUUUACUACAAAAUAUCCUAAAGAAAAAACAUGCAAAGCGAACAAAAUAUACAGAAAUACAAAAGAAUAGAAUCUCACACUUCGCGCGCUUGAAGGCAUCGCAACCCCCUUGCUACGAAAAACAUCCUCUCCCCCCGGCUCACACGAACGUAGCCAAAUUAGAGUCUUCUUCGUCAUCGUCGUCAAGGUCAUCCAAA
rnacentral:lncRNA from 1 species